UUUUAUGGAGAGUUUGAUCCUGGCUCAGAGUGAACGCUGGCGGCGUGCCUAAUACAUGCAAGUCGAACGAUGAAGCUUCUAGCUUGCUAGAGUGCUGAUUAGUGGCGCACGGGUGAGUAACGCAUAGGUCAUGUGCCUCUUAGUUUGGGAUAGCCAUUGGAAACGAUGAUUAAUACCAGAUACUCCCUACGGGGGAAAGAUUUAUCGCUAAGAGAUCAGCCUAUGUCCUAUCAGCUUGUUGGUAAGGUAAUGGCUUACCAAGGCUAUGACGGGUAUCCGGCCUGAGAGGGUGAACGGACACACUGGAACUGAGACACGGUCCAGACUCCUACGGGAGGCAGCAGUAGGGAAUAUUGCUCAAUGGGGGAAACCCUGAAGCAGCAACGCCGCGUGGAGGAUGAAGGUUUUAGGAUUGUAAACUCCUUUUGUUAGAGAAGAUAAUGACGGUAUCUAACGAAUAAGCACCGGCUAACUCCGUGCCAGCAGCCGCGGUAAUACGGAGGGUGCAAGCGUUACUCGGAAUCACUGGGCGUAAAGAGCGCGUAGGCGGGAUAGUCAGUCAGGUGUGAAAUCCUAUGGCUUAACCAUAGAACUGCAUUUGAAACUACUAUUCUAGAGUGUGGGAGAGGUAGGUGGAAUUCUUGGUGUAGGGGUAAAAUCCGUAGAGAUCAAGAGGAAUACUCAUUGCGAAGGCGACCUGCUGGAACAUUACUGACGCUGAUUGCGCGAAAGCGUGGGGAGCAAACAGGAUUAGAUACCCUGGUAGUCCACGCCCUAAACGAUGGAUGCUAGUUGUUGGAGGGCUUAGUCUCUCCAGUAAUGCAGCUAACGCAUUAAGCAUCCCGCCUGGGGAGUACGGUCGCAAGAUUAAAACUCAAAGGAAUAGACGGGGACCCGCACAAGCGGUGGAGCAUGUGGUUUAAUUCGAAGAUACACGAAGAACCUUACCUAGGCUUGACAUUGAGAGAAUCCGCUAGAAAUAGUGGAGUGUCUAGCUUGCUAGACCUUGAAAACAGGUGCUGCACGGCUGUCGUCAGCUCGUGUCGUGAGAUGUUGGGUUAAGUCCCGCAACGAGCGCAACCCCCUUUCUUAGUUGCUAACAGGUCAUGCUGAGAACUCUAAGGAUACUGCCUCCGUAAGGAGGAGGAAGGUGGGGACGACGUCAAGUCAUCAUGGCCCUUACGCCUAGGGCUACACACGUGCUACAAUGGGGUGCACAAAGAGAAGCAAUACUGCGAAGUGGAGCCAAUCUUCAAAACACCUCUCAGUUCGGAUUGUAGGCUGCAACUCGCCUGCAUGAAGCUGGAAUCGCUAGUAAUCGCAAAUCAGCCAUGUUGCGGUGAAUACGUUCCCGGGUCUUGUACUCACCGCCCGUCACACCAUGGGAGUUGUGUUUGCCUUAAGUCAGGAUGCUAAAUUGGCUACUGCCCACGGCACACACAGCGACUGGGGUGAAGUCGUAACAAGGUAACCGUAGGUGAACCUGCGGUUGGAUCACCUCCUUUCUAGA
rnacentral:rRNA from 1 species